rnacentral:lncRNA from 10 species
UAGCAAUCCAAGUAUGGACUAAUACAGAGAGAGAAAGGAAGAAAGUGAAGAAGAGCAAACGUAUAUCUGCAGCGGUUUUUCUGCAUGGCUAAGGUGAGGCUGGGCUCCGUGGCUGUUCAGGCGAUUUUGCUGCCUAGAAGGGGAUUUGGAGAGGUAAGAAGCCUGCAAGACAGGAGGCAGCAAGAAUAGGACGUGGGCGGGGGACACCUACCACACAAAAGGCUCAUGUGGUCUUGAUAGUCGUGAAUAUCUUGGAUGCUCAUGCCGAGCUGUUGAGUGAGAUUCCUUAUGCCAUUCUCCACACUGGAAGGCUGAAGACUAAAGAGGUCAUUUGAGCUAUUAGGGGCACCUGACUCUCCCAUCAAACUGUCAUUCCUCUAGACCAGGGGCAGUGGCUCACCCCUGUAAUCUCAGCACUUUGGGAGGCCAGUGGAUCUCUUGAGCCCAGGAGUUCAAACCAGCCUGGGCAACAUAGCAAGAUCCCAUCUCUACAACAACAACAACAACAACAACAACAACAAAACAUACAAAAAAAAAUUAGCCAGGCAUGAGCCACCGCGCCCGGCCACAUGUGAUUUUAAUUAAGGCAUGUGAGUAGCACACAGCUCCACAUGCAUUCAGCUGCAGGAAUCUUACCCCACCUCUAACAUGUGCUACAGCUUUCCUUUCUGCUCCAGCCUCUGCUCCAAUGUUACUGGAGCACAUUAGCCCCACACUAGUACAGACAGGAAGUCCGAGGGAAUCUAAUUCUUUGAUGGUUAAUUUUAAUGUACCCACUUGACUGGGCUACAGGAUGCUCAGAUACCUGGCAAAAUGUUAUUUCUGGGUGUGUCUGGUGUUUCCAGAAAAGACUAGUAUUUAGAUCAGUUCACUGAGUAAAGAAGACCCCCUCACUUAUGUGGGGGGACGUCAUCUAGUCCAUUGAGGACCCAAAUAGAACAAAAAGGUGGCAGAAGAGAGAGUUCUCCCUCUGUGUGCUUGAGCUGGGCCCUCCCUCUUCGGUUCUUGGAGGUCAGUGCUCUUGGUUCUCCGGCCUUUGGGCUUGGACUGGAACUGCACCACCGACUUUCAUGGUUCUGUAACUCACAGACAGCAGAUUGUGGGACUUCUUGGCCAGGAUAACGGCAUGAGCCAAUUCCCAGAAAUCUCUAUCUCUAGCCUAUUGGUUCUGUUUCUCUGGAGAACCCUAAUACAACUUUCUAGGUGAAUCCUUAAUCAAUGGAGAAAAAAAGACAGCAGACAAAUGUUCCAGCCUCCCAACCUUCAGAUAAACAACUCUGGGGGGUUAAGGCGGGGGCUUCUGUACUUAAUUAUGUUUAUUUCUUUAACUUAAUUAGUUGCAGUUGAUUCUGACACUGUGGCUUGAUGUUCUCUAUCUGCUUUGGAAAAUUUUCAGAAAAUUGUGUCUUUCUUUUGCUCUCCUUCUCCUCUGGGAUUCAAGCAAUACCCUUUGUCCCUUUAUGCCUCAUUCUGAGUAGUAUUUUUUCUUGACCUACCUUUCAGCUCAUGAAUUCUCUUUCCAUACGGAUCUAAGCUGCUGUUACACUUACCCAGUGAGUUCUUUUUUUUUUUUUU